rnacentral:rRNA from 1 species
GAUGAACGCUGGCGGCGUGCCUAAUACAUGCAAGUCGAACGCUGGAGCUCUAGCUUGCUAGAUCGAAGGAGUGGCGAACGGGUGAGUAAUACAUAAGCAACCUACCCACGAAGACUGGGAUAAUCUCUGGAAACGGGGACUAAUACCGGAUAGGUAAUCGGAAGGCAUCUUCUGGUUAUUAAAGGUUAAAAACACUGGUGGAUGGGCUUAUGGCGCAUUAGUUAGUUGGUGAGGUAACGGCCCACCAAGACGAUGAUGCGUAGCCGGCCUGAGAGGGUGAACGGCCACAUUGGGACUAAGACACGGCCCAGACUCCUACGGGAGGCAGCAGUAGGGAAUUUUCGGCAAUGGGGGCAACCCUGACCGAGCAACGCCGCGUGAGUGAAGACGGCCUUCGGGUUGUAAAGCUCUGUUGUAAGGGAAGAACGGUAGAUAGAGAAUAUCUAAGUGACGGUACCUUACCAGAAAGCCACGGCUAACUACGUG